ACCUGGUUGAUCCUGCCAGUUAUGAUAUGCUUUUCUCAAAGACUAAGCCAUGCAUGCCUAAGUUCAUACCUCUAUAGGGUGAAACUGCGAAUUGCUCAGUAAAUCAGUUAUCGUUUAUUUGAUUGUACCGAAGCCCUUACAGGCUUCACACUGGAUAACUGUGGGAAACUAGAGCUAAUACAUGUCAACUGCUAUCUCGGGGUAGCGUGCAUUUAUUCGCCUAGAAAACCAACGCGUCGUAAGCUAGUCACCAGCAUAAACUCUUGCGACAACGGCUACCACGCUCAUGGUGAUUCUGAAUAACUGAUGCUGAUCGUACAAGGCCUUUCUGUGCCUACGAUAUUUCAAUCAAAUUUCUGCCCUAUCAUACUCGUUGGUAGUGUAGUGGACUACCAAGGUGACGACGGGUAACGGGGAAUCAGGGUUCGAUUCCGGAGAGGGAGCCUGAGAAACGGCUACCACAUCCAAGGAUGGCAGCAGGCGCGCAAACUAUCCAAUCCAGAUAAUGGGAGAUGGUGAAGAGACCAUUAUUGGAACUCAUCGGCUUUGCCGGUCGAGUUACCAGAUAGACCAUAGUCUAAAUACAUAGUGAAAUAAUCAACGGGAGGGCAAGUCUGGUGCCAGCAGCCGCGGUAAUACCAGCUCCCGUGGUGUAUAUGUUUGUUGUUGCGGUUAAAAAGCUCGUAGUUGGAAUACGGUGCGUUCGAAAGAUGGUUCUGAGAUAUGGUUACCGAAUGCGUGUAAUUUGAGAUCGGUCUCAGCCCUUCUUGUGACUGGCUAACACACACUGCUCUCUGAUCUAAGCUUGUGUUAGGGCUUGAGAGAUGUUGACCACUUCAUACUGGGAAACUGGUGUGCAUUGGUCAAAAGAUCAGGAGUCUCAAACUGGGUUUAGCAUCAAGAGUUUGUGGUUUAGGCAGUUAGGAAUAGUGUGUUGUGACCGGUUGCUUUUGUAUCUCUGAAAGGUCAUUAGAGCGUGCUUUCUCGUCGGGCCUCCAUGACAAAAUGACCAAAAGUUAUCUAUCCUUCAGUGGAUACGUGGGACGUCCGGCGACAUGUGCCUUGAGUAAAAUAGAGUGCUCCAAGCAGGCAUGAUUAACGUCAUAGCCCGCAUACUCCAGCCAGGAACGAAUGUUCAAUUGCUUAAACCACCCCACUGGCCUAGUUUGUUGGUUAAACACUGUGUGUGUGGUCAUGCUGCUACUUAAGUUUGCAUGCUCCCGCACACACAGCUAGGUCGUGUCCACAGGAAAGUGUACCCGGUGGCCAAGUCUGGUUGGAACAGAUGGGUGUAGUGGGUGUCCCAUGUGGAUGCUCACCUGCACUCGUCUCCAAGUUGGCUCCGGUGGCCGGGAGUAAUGCACCUCCUGUGUACGGGUAUCGGUUAACAGAGACAUUUGGGGGCAUUAGUAUUUGGUCGCGAGAGGUGAAAUUCAUAGACCGAUCAAAGACUAACAAUUGCGAAAGCAUUUGCCAGAGAUGUUUUCAUUAAUCAAGAACGAAAGUUGGAGGAUCGAUGACGAUUAGAUACCGUCGUAGUUCCAACUGUAAACUAUGCCAACCAGGGCUCAGCCCGGAUCGUCUAUAUUUUUAAUAUGUGGAUCCAGGUUGGACCCCCAGGGAAACCUAAAGUUUUUGGGUUCGGGGGGAGUAUAGUCGCAAGAGUGAAACUUGAAGGAAUUGACGGAAGGGCACCACCAGGAGUGGAGCCUGCGGCCUAAUUUGACUCAACACGGGGAAUCUCACCAGGUCCGGACAUCGGAAGGAUUGACAGACUGACAGAUCUUACAUGAUUCGGUGGAAGGUGGUGCAUGGCCGUUCUUAGUUGGUGGAGUGAUCUGUCAAGUUAAUUCUGAUAACGGGCGCGACUGUGGCCUUUAUUUUGGCCGUAUGAAAGUUUCACCGGUGCCCCACAGGGUUCAUUAAAGUCUUGUGUAACCAAUUGUCCAUGGUGGGGUUUUGCCUUGGUUCCGUGCUGACCUAGCGUAUUCACGGCCAAUGUUAGCUAGCAAUCAGACAGAUGUGCGGUGUGAUGUCGCACACACUGUGGUUGUACUGUUGGCUGUGCGGAAGGUCAGUAUUCUGGGGCGAAGUUUGGCUCUGACAAUGUUACAUAGGAUGGGUUCUGUGGGUCCGGUCUGUGUUCGUGCGCCUUCAUAGAGGGACUACCGGUGGCAAACCGGGGGAAGUACGGCAAUAGCAGGUCAGUGAUGCCCUUAGAUGUUCUGGGCUGCACGCGCGCUACAAUGGUAACGACAGUGAGUUUCUGCGCCGAAAGGUGCGGGUAAUCUUUUCAAUCGUUAUCGCGCUGGGGAUUGAACCUUGAAAUUAUUGUUCAUGAACCUGGAAUUCCUCGUAAGUACGAGUCACCAGCUCGUGCUGAAUACGUCUCUGCCCUUUGUACACACCGCCCGUCGCUACUACCGAUCGAAUGAUUUGGUGAGGACAUGGGAUUGAUCGAUACCAAGUGUAUUGAUCGAGAGCCUGUCCAAGCUGCAUCCCUCAGAGGAAGUAAAAGUCGUAACAAGGUUUCCGUAGGUGAACCAGCGGAA
rnacentral:rRNA from 1 species